GAGGGGCCCAGAGAUAUCACUCUCAAUCAGAGAGGGGCAAAUCCCAUCUUGAUUGACCAUAUCUCAUAGCAUGCUUCUUGACAAACCCGAAAGCUACCUUUAUAACUACCCUGUUACGGCGUAGCGUUUGAUAGCCCCUAAGUAGGUCUAUCCACAUCUUGAAUACAUGCGACAAUCUCAGGUCUAAGGACAAAGCGUAUAUGUUGUUUAAAGAGAGAACUACUUCUCGUGUUGGGUCAGUCCUAGCACAUGUCUCCACAUGUGUCCACAUUAUUAGUUCAACAUCUCCAUGUCCAUGACUUGUGAAACAUAGUCAUCAACUAAUACAUGUGCUAGUCUAAUAUUCCUGUGUGUCCUCACAUGAACUCCGACUAGGGACAACUUUAGAAUUACCAUACAAGUAAAGAGUUUCACAUACAAUUCACAUAAUUUGCAAGUCAAUUCAAGUAGCCUUUAAUGGAUAUUCAAUGAACACAAUAUACAAAUCAUGGAUACAAAUGGAAUAUCAUCAUCUCUAUGAUUGCCUCUAGGGCAUACCUCCAACAGUCUCCCU
rnacentral:lncRNA from 1 species